rnacentral:rRNA from 1 species
GACGAACGCUGGCGGCGUGCCUAAUACAUGCAAGUAGAACGCACAGUUUAUACCCUCGCUUGCUACACCAUAGACUGUGAGUUGCGAACGGGUGAGUAACGCGUAGGUAACCUGCCUGGUAUCGGUGGAUAACUAUUGGAAACGUUCGCUAAUACCGCAUAAUAUUCAUUAUUGCAUGAUAAUUAAUUGAAAGGUUCAAUUUCACCACUACCAGCUGGACCUGCGUUGUAUUAGCUAGUAGGUGAGGUAACGGCUCACCUAGGCGACGAUACAGAGCCGAACUGAGAGGGUGGUAGGCCACACUGGGAAUGAGACACGGCCCAGACUCCUACGGGAGGCAGCAGGAGGGAAACUUCGGCAAUGGACGAAAGUCUGAACGAGCAAAGCCGCGGGAGGGAAGAAGGGUUUCGGAUCGUAAAGCUCGGUUGUAAGAGAAGAACGGGUGUGAGAGUGGAAAGUUCACACUGUGACGGUAUCUUACCAGAAAGGGACGGCUAACUACGUG